rnacentral:rRNA from 1 species
AUUGAACGCUGGCGGCAUGCUUUACACAUGCAAGUCGAACGGCAGCACAGAGAAGCUUGCUUCUUGGGUGGCGAGUGGCGAACGGGUGAGUAAUAUAUCGGAACGUACCGAGUAAUGGGGGAUAACUAAUCGAAAGAUUAGCUAAUACCGCAUAUUCUCUGAGGAGGAAAGCAGGGGACCUUCGGGCCUUGCGUUAUUCGAGCGGCCGAUAUCUGAUUAGCUAGUUGGUGGGGUAAAGGCCUACCAAGGCGACGAUCAGUAGCGGGUCUGAGAGGAUGAUCCGCCACACUGGGACUGAGACACGGCCCAGACUCCUACGGGAGGCAGCAGUGGGGAAUUUUGGACAAUGGGCGCAAGCCUGAUCCAGCUCAUGCCGCGUGUCUGAAGAAGGCCUUCGGGUUGUAAAGGACUUUUGUCAGGGAAGAAAAGGCUGUUGCUAAUACC